rnacentral:rRNA from 1 species
AGGACGAACGCUGGCGGUGUGCUUAACACAUGCAAGUGGAGCGACGAACCAGGGCUUGCCCUGGGGCAGAGCCGCGAACGGGUGAGUAACACGUGGGUAACCUACCCCGAUGACCGGGACAACCCGAGGAAACUCGGGCUAAUACCGGAUGUGUCCCAUCUUCACGAGGAGAUGGAGCAAAGGAAGCUUCGGCCUCCGCAUCGGGAGGGGCCCGCGGCCCAUUAGCUAGUUGGUGGGGUAACGGCCUACCAAGGCAGCGAUGGGUAGCUGGUCUGAGAGGACGAUCAGCCACACUGGGACUGAGACACGGCCCAGACUCCUACGGGAGGCAGCAGUCGGGAAUUUUGGGCAAUGGGCGAAAGCCUGACCCAGCAACGCCGCGUGAAGGAUGAAGUAUUCGGUAUGUAAACUUCGUAAGAAUGGGAAGAAUAAAUGACGGUACCAUUUGUAAGGUCCGGCUAACUACGUGCCAGCAGCCGC